rnacentral:rRNA from 1 species
UACGAAGGGGGCUAGCGUUGUUCGGAUUUACUGGGCGUAAAGCGCACGUAGGCGGAUCGUUAAGUCAGGGGUGAAAUCCCGGAGCUCAACUCCGGAACUGCCUUUGAUACUGGCGAUCUUGAGGCUGGAAGAGGUUAGUGGAAUUCCCAGUGUAGAGGUGAAAUUCGUAGAUAUUGGGAAGAACACCAGUGGCGAAGGCGGCUAACUGGUCCAGAUCUGACGCUGAGGUGCGAAAGCGUGGGGAGCGAACAGG